GCCAGAAAAGCGCAAAACGCACCAGGGUUCUCACACGACACGCCUCGACGUUUCCAUCUUUCGUCACGCCGUGCUUCCAUCCAUCCAUCCGUCGAUCAAUCAAAAAGCAAAGCUUAUUAAAGUCCGCCCUUCCGUGGCCCGGACGUCGAUGAUCUGUGGGCAGCGGAGCGCGGCGACGGCGACCGGCGGCGGCAGCGGCAGCGCAGGGUAAGCGUGGCAGUCGACCAGGCCGACAUACUACACCCAUACGCCGAGGGCCAGGCGCAGGCACGGCAACGGGUCACGGAGAGCUCGCCGCGACAGGGACGUGACGAGCUGGCUCUACUCUACUAGUGGUGGUGGACGGCGCUGGCGUCGCUCUAUUUUUUUUCGUUUUCCCCCUCCCUCCUCCGCUCUCCGGUUCCGGGAAAGCUCCCGCCCUCGCCGCUCGGGGAGCGGCAGAGAAAUGCGACGGCGAUGCCCCCCUUCCUCCUCUCGCUGUCCCUCCCAGCCCUAACCCUACCCCUGCCUCCCGCCCCCGCCCCCGCCCCUCGCCGCCACCGCGUCUUCGCGGCGCCCGCCUACGGGCCGCAGCCCUGCCGCGGCCGCGUCUGCGUCUGCGCCGCCUACAGGCCCCCGCCGCGGCAGCCCUACCGCCGCCAGCCCGCCCCGGCCCCGGCCCCGGACCCGCGCCCGCGCCCGUCCAAUGCGCCCGCGCCGCCGCAGCGCGACCCUCGGGGCCAGGAGGAGGUCGAGGAAGCGAUCUACGACUUCAUGCGCCGCUCCGACAAGCCCGGCGCGUUCCCCACCCGCGCCGAGCUCCUCGCCGCGGGGCGCGCCGACCUCGCCGCCGCCGUCGAGUCCAGCGGAGGCUGGCUCUCCCUCGGAUGGUCCUGGUCCUCCGACGACGACGCGCGGCGGCCGGCCGCGUCGUCGGCCGGCCCCGGCGUGCACCCUGACUACCCGCCCGAGGCGGGUCCUUCUGGCCGACCGCCAAACUCGGCGGCGGAUUCCGUAAGGGAGCAGCAGGAACCGACGCGGUCUGGGAGGCAGCCGGAGACGGAGGAGACAGAGGAGGCAGGGUCUGGAGCAGGCCUGGAGGGAAUGCUCGCCAGGCUGCGGAGAGAGAGGGAGCGUGCGCGGCCACCGCCACGCAGCAAGAAUCAAGCGGGAGGGCAAGGUCAAAAUGGCGCUUUAAUGAACCAUAAUGGAGCUCCUAGUCGAAGUCCAACUGAUGGCAUGUACACUCGAAGGAUACCUGUGAAUGGAAAUAUACAUCGCUCUCAUUCUCAAAAUGGAAUACCAGAGGCCAACAAAUCAAGUAGUUCGGCCAAUGAUGCAUGGCGAACAUGGUCUCUUGACAAGAGUCGGUUUUCUGAUUUUGAAGCCGCUGAGAUCCAUCCUUUGAGCAGAAAACCACCGAAACGUGCUGACCUGGACACUGUGUUGAUAGAAGAUGAUGUUCCCGGACCAUCUAAUGGUGUGGUUAUAAAUGAUUAUCCUAGUGAUCAUGUAGACUCUGAAAGAGAUGAGAUACAUGCACGUUUUCAAAAUUUGGAAUUCGAUCUUGCAGAUUCUCUUAAGACAUUAAGAUCAAGAUUUGAUGGAGUUUCGUCAUAUAUGUCAAAUGGCGAAGAAGCAGAUGUGGUAAACGGGUUCUCUGAUGAUUGGGAAUUUGAAGAGACAAAAGUAAUGCAUGCCCAGGAAGAAUUACGGACAAUCCGUGCUAAAAUAGCAGUAUUAGAAGGCAAGGUGGCGCUUGAAAUAAUUGAGAAGAACAAAAUAAUUGAAGAAAAGCAAACGAGGCUUGAUGAAGUUGAGAAGGCUUUGAGUGAGCUCCGCACAGUAUCUGUUGUAUGGCCCAAUCCUGCUUCAGAAGUUCUAUUGACCGGUUCUUUUGAUGGGUGGACAAGCCAAAGAAGGAUGGAACAAUCAGAAAGCGGCAUUUUUUCGUAUAACCUGAGGUUGUAUCCCGGUAGAUAUGAGAUUAAAUUUAUUGUUGAUGGUGUUUGGAAGAACGACCCGCUGCGCCCUACCGUGAACAACCAUGGGAACGAAAACAACCUUAUGAUUGUCACUUGACCUGCCUGCAUCCUUGUAGUAACUGUGUAGAUUAUAGAUUGUCAUCAACAAUGAUUGGUGCCAACUGAUUAGAUCGCUUCUUUCUUCCUUGUAGCCUGUCAGUUUUUGCCGCCUGUCGUUUCUUGAUUGUUUUCUAGAGCCACGCAUGACUUGGACAGUGUAGGGUCAGGGUGUUGUCUUUCACCCCGCUGAGAUGGGAGAAGAAUAUAGCUGUUGGUGUGUGUGUUCUUUCCUUCCCCCUCUUUCUUCUCCCUGGAGAAGCAUAGCGGGGCACUCGAAUGCCCCGGUGGCGGUUGGGGGUAGUUCGCCAUCGGUGUCUCGGGUGUGUGUAACAAUGUACAUAUCUGGUGAUAGCAAAGUUGUCCGUGGUUAGUUUGUCAAGG
rnacentral:rRNA from 1 species